CCUACGGGGGGCAGCAGUGAGGAAUAUUGGUCAAUGGGCGAGAGCCUGAACCAGCCAAGUCGCGUGAGGGAGUACGGCCCUAUGGGUUGUAAACCUCUUUUGUCGGGGAGCAAAAGCCGGACGUGGCCGGCUGUGCGAGUACCCGAAGAAAAAGCAUAGGCUAACUCCGUGCCAGCAGCCGCGGUGAAACGGAGGAUGCGAGCGUUAUCCGGAUUUAUUGGGUGUAAAGGGUGCGCAGGCGGAUUAUUAAGUCAGCGGUAAAAUCGUGGGGCUCAACCCCAUCCAGCCGUUGAAACUGGGGAUCUAGAGUGGGCGAGAGGUAUGCGGAAUGCGUGGUGUAGCGGUGAAAUGCAUAGAUAUCACGCAGAACCCCGAUUGCGAAGGCAGCAUACCGGUGCACAACUGACGCUGAGGCACGAAAGCGUGGGUAUCGAACAGGAUUAGAUACCCGGGUAGUC
rnacentral:rRNA from 1 species